UACGAAGGGGGCUAGCGUUGCUCGGAAUCGCUGGGCGUAAAGGGUGCGUAGGCGGGUCUUUAAGUCAGGGGUGAAAUCCUGGAGCUCAACUCCAGAACUGCCUUUGAUACUGAAGAUCUUGAGUUCGGGAGAGGUGAGUGGAACUGCGAGUGUAGAGGUGAAAUUCGUAGAUAUUCGCAAGAACACCAGUGGCGAAGGCGGCUCACUGGUCCGGUACUGACGCUGAGGUGCGAAAGCGUGGGGAGCAAACAGG
rnacentral:rRNA from 1 species